AUUGAACGCUGGCGGCCGGCCUAACACAUACGAGUCGAGCGAGCGGCGGACGGGUGAGUAAUGUCUGGGAAACUGCCUGAUGGAGGGGGAUAACUACUGGAAACGGUAGCUAAUACCGCAUACCAUCAGAUGUGCCCAGAUGGGAUUAGCUAGUAGGUGGGGUAACGGCUCACCUAGGCGACGAUCCCUAGCUGGUCUGAGAGGAUGACCAGCACCACUGGAAUUGAUACACGGUCCAUACUCCUACGGGAGGCAGCAGUGGUGAAUAUUGCACAAUGGGCGCAAGCCUGAUGCAGCCAUGCCGCGUGUGUGAAGAAGGCCUUCGGGUUGUAAAGCACUUUCAGCGGGGAGGCGGUACCCGCAGAAGAAGCACCGGCUAACUCCGUGCCAGCAGCCGCGGUAAUUC
rnacentral:rRNA from 1 species